UCAGGGCCUACAGUACAAGUCUCAACUGGUUCUACCCUUGUUAGUCCAGAGACACUGAUAUCUAUACAGCACUCGUAUCUGGUUUCAUCAAUGACAGCAUAAUGAUAAGAUGCUAUGACACAGAGAUAGGAGAAAGUGAGGACUGCAGAUGCUGGAGAUCAGAGUCAAAGGGUGUGAUGCUGGAAAAGCAGUGAGGCAGCAUCCGAGGAGCAGGAGAAUCGCCAUUUUGAGUCAUCAGGAAACACAAAGACCUGGGAGUUCUUUAGAUGUGCAUCAGCUUGCAAGCAAGAAACGUUACCUGAACUGAGGGUCUUCCAUCAUCAUAUAAUGAUCUAACAGCAACAUUAUCUCUCAUCAGGAAACUGAAGAAAAUCUGAGAAAAGUCACCUCAUUUUAUCUUUCUAGUUUGGACUGUUGAUCAAAAAGUUUUGUCAUUCAUCAUUGCUCUGCAGAGCUGUGUAUCUCACUCUGUCCGAAUAUGAAGGUGCUUGUAAGUUUGUGUG